rnacentral:rRNA from 1 species
UACGGAGGAUCCAAGCGUUAUCCGGAUUUAUUGGGUUUAAAGGGAGCGUAGGCGGGACGGCAAGUCAGAUGUGAAAACUGAGGGCUCAACUUUCAGACUGCAUUUGAAACUGCUGUUCUUGAGUGAAGUAGAGGUAAGCGGAAUUCCUAGUGUAGCGGUGAAAUGCGUAGAUAUUAGGAGGAACAUCGGUGGCGAAGGCGGCUUACUGGGCUUUUACUGACGCUGAGGCUCGAAAGCGUGGGGAGCAAACAGG